AGCACCUUGGCGCAGAGGACGCGCGCAGGGCUCAUAACCCUGAGGUCCCUCGAUCGAAACGAGGAGGUGCUA
rnacentral:tRNA from 2 species